CACGUAGGGGGCGAGCGUUGUCCGGAUUUAUUGGGCGUAAAGAGCUCGUAGGCGGCUCAGUAAGUCAGGUGUGAAAACUCCAGGCUCAACCUGGAGACGCCACUUGAUACUGCUGUGGCUAGAGUCCGGUAGGGGAGCAUGGAAUUCUUGGUGUAGCGGUGAAAUGCGUAGAUAUCAAGAGGAACACCUGCGGCGAAGGCGGGUUGCUGGGCCGACACUGACGCUGAGGCGCGAAAGCCAGGGGAGCGAACGGG
rnacentral:rRNA from 1 species